GAACCUGCGGAAGGAUCAUUACCGAGUGAGGGCCCUUUGGGUCCAACCUCCCACCCGUGUUUAUUUUACCUUGUUGCUUCGGCGGGCCCGCCUUUACUGGCCGCCGGGGGGCUCACGCCCCCGGGCCCGCGCCCGCCGAAGACACCCCCGAACUCUGUCUGAAGAUUGAAGUCUGAGUGAAAAUAUAAAUUAUUUAAAACUUUCAACAACGGAUCUCUUGGUUCCGGCAUCGAUGAAGAACGCAGCGAAAUGCGAUACGUAAUGUGAAUUGCAAAUUCAGUGAAUCAUCGAGUCUUUGAACGCACAUUGCGCCCCCUGGUAUUCCGGGGGGCAUGCCUGUCCGAGCGUCAUUGCUGCCCUCAAGCCCGGCUUGUGUGUUGGGCCCCGUCCUCCGAUUCCGGGGGACGGGCCCGAAAGGCAGCGGCGGCACCGCGUCCGGUCCUCGAGCGUAUGGGGCUUUGUCACCCGCUCUGUAGGCCCGGCCGGCGCUUGCCGAUCAACCCAAAUUUUUAUC
rnacentral:rRNA from 1 species